UUAGAACUUUGUUCUUCUACAGGCUGUGUUCUUUUGAACUCAGAGGCUUGAUUAUCACGAAUCAAGAGAGGUUUAUCCUCAAUCUAUCCACCCAACCUUGUCACUGUACUUAGGUACAUGACAAUUGGUAUCAAGAGCCGUCUUUCCUGAGAAAUCAUGGUUGAUGGGAUGAAUUUACAUGAAGAAAAAUGGGUACAAAUGAAGGGAAAAUUGGUACCCAUAGUGAAGUUGGAACAACUAGAAACGGAGAAAUUAGACUGGUAUCGGUGUCACUUUGAAAAGAGUAUAUCUCUAGGUCGAGAAUACUCCAUUCGGAGGUGGUCAAAAUUGAUGAACAAGGCGUUGAAGAAAUUGAAAUCAAUCAUGUUUAUUAGGUAUACUUCUCCAGCUCAUAAACCUCCUUUUAGAGUGAAAAGAGAUUCUACAGAUAUUUGUGACUCUUCCGAUGAGUUGAUUCCUUCUUAUUUCUUUGAAGAAAUGGUUGAUUCAACAAAAAGUUUGAGUUCUCAAGCUAAAGAAGUUUCAACCGUGGAUAAAUCAGUUCACCCCACUGUCGAUGAACUAAAAGAUGAUUCAAUUGAUGUCGUGAGUUUCAAUUUAAAGAAAUCGGCAAAGCUGAAGUGAGUUAUUUCGAUAGCAAGAAUCAUGUUCAAGUGGUUGAGGUUAGUUUAAUCAUUCUUUACAACAAAUUGAAAUGUCAGAGUUGUUUUCAUAUUGGUCUUGAUGAGUUUAGAAUCAUUUUUGAUCGUGGUAAGUAUACAGUGGUACAACUGUAUUAUUAUUUUGGAAAAUUGAUUCUUAGCCUUGUUCAAUUCAGAUUUUGGAUUUCUAUAUUUGAUAAUUCCCCUGUGUGUUCAUGAUACUGAAAUUUCUGUGGAUGGGAAGCUGCUUGCUAAAAUGCCUGAAGGUGUAACUUGGAAUUUGGAGAAUGAUAGAGAUGAUUUUCUCUUACAACUUCAACAAGUGUGGGGUGCAUUAAGAAGGCUCGUCCAUGGUCUGUUCAAGUGCUUGAAAUUCAGGGAGCAGAAAUUUUUUUCUUACAGCUCAAGUGUGUGUUGCUUGAGGUGAGUUCCAAGUUACUAAUGGAUGAUUAUUCCUUACUUUCCUUCGAUUCUCUGCGUAGAAUGUUUGAUCGUGGGAAAGGAUUUCAACUUAUUAAGGGGUUAUUUUUUUUGUUGGUGAUUAUUAAUAUUAUUUUGAUACAAUUACUUCUGGUGUGAUUGUUCUUCUGGUGUACUGUUUCGAGUUGUUAUUUGAGUAUAUAACUGUAUACUUGUUUAAGAACGGUGAUCAUGGGCUCGACUCAGAUUCAUUGUGGUGUGAUUCAAUUCCCUUGGUGUUGGUUAAAUCGGGUGAUACUGGUACUAGCAGUGGGCUAUUUUUUCAAAUAUCAGAGAGUAGAAUUUUGAGACUUCGAUUGAUUAUAGUAGUGGAACAUGACAAGGCACUAGAAAUGGAAGCUCUCAUGUUUGAGAUUGUCGUGUGGAAUUUGGAGGACGGGGUGCUUGUUUUUAUCCUGAUUGGCCCCCGAUUAAGUUGUCAAGUCAAGUGAUUCACUCCUUGGACUCGGCUAGUAAUUCUGUGGUGAUCUAUUUCUAUUCUCUUAUGCUGUUUUUCUCAUUAUGUCCCAACGAGUUCAACAUUUUAAGAGGGGAGUUAUCUGUGCAUUAUCUUUUACCAGCACCUUCUGUCUAUAUUUAUCUGAUGACAGCGUGAACUCAGAUCUUAGUCGUGGUAUUUCAGAUUCUUAAAAUGUUGCCGUCAGUAGGAUACUUGAGGUGGAAGUUCAGAUUGGUUCCACAUGUGUUGUGUAUUGUGCGAAACAUUAAUUGGAUUGAUAAAAAUUUCAUCUCAGUGUUGUGUUCAGGGUUUAAGUGGGAUACUGCAUCCUGGAACUCAGUCGUCGUUCAGGUCCUACAAGAUUAUGAGGUCGAGAAGGCACAAGAGGGAUUCGAUAGACUACAUGGUAGUAUUUUGUGCAUUUUUAGUAGAAGUGCAGAAUUCUUACGUUUGUGGCUUCCAACUACAAUCUAUUAUGGGGUCUGUAAAGUGCAACUUCGAGCUUCUUCUUAUCAUGCGCUGCUGCCUUUGGAUGCUUGCGUUCCUCCCAAUUAUGCUUGUUAUCGAAUGUUGUUUGAUCGAGGUAAAAUUGCUGGGAUGAAAUUGUUGUUCGUAGCUUCAAACACCCCCACAUACUUAAUGGACGUAUCUAGCCGAACUGUUCUUAGCACAAACAAUUACCUAAAUGAGAUGGUAGAACUUCAAAUUGCAUUACAGUUGGGGGUCUCCUCGAGAUGGACACUUGAAGCACAUUCUAAUACUAAUCUCGACUGUGUACUGAUGAGAAUUCCUGGUCAGACUUGUAUUUUUAAUGGGAGGGUCCCAAGUUCAUUCCACACUGAAGUUUUCAAGCACCGAAAGGUUCACUCUAGGUUUACUGCCAUGUGUUUUGUUCCUUGUCAAUUUAUCUAAGCUACACAGCUGACGAGACAGCUACAUUUUCCCAUGGUAUACAAAGUCAAGACUAAUGCAAGUGGUGCUUCUAUUGGUGCCUCCUCAACAAAGAUUUACAAAGACAAUGGGCCAGUUUACCUUGGGGGAAGAAAUACUCGGGAGUUAACUCUACAGGUUCAUUUUGAGUGUGUAAUUACUACUUUGGGAAUCACAUGUAGUCUACCAAGACGUCAGUCAAAGGCUGGGCUUGGUAUGUAGGUGUUUAUGGAUCUCAUAUUGGAUUUCAGUGGCAUUAUGAGUUCUGGUCUUUUGAUGCGUGCCUUUCCAAUUGUCGGGCUGAUUCUUUUCACUUCCAUCCUUGAGGACAAGGAUGUUUUCAAGGGGAUUGGAAUGUCAUGUACCUGUUAAUGAAUGGGAGUGCCCAUAUCUUAUAUUAGACUGUAGUUAGCUUAAUUAGUGUUAACUGUAACAGGUGGUUGAGAUGUAACCACGCGGCGGGUUAGUGAUCGUUAGAUAUUUGAGAGAGAAACCUAGAUAUAUAAGCUAGGGAUGCUGUAAUGAAACUCUUAUCAAAUUAUUAAUCCAAAUUAGAACUUUGUUCUUCUACAA